rnacentral:rRNA from 1 species
CGGGGAAUAUUGCGCAAUGGGCGAAAGCCUGACGCAGCGACGCCGCGUGCGGGAUGAAGGCCCUCGGGUCGUAAACCGCUUUCAGCAGGGACGAAGAUGACGGUACCUGCAGAAGAAGCCCCGGCCAACUACGUGCCAGCAGCCGCGGUAAUACGUAGGGGGCAAGCGUUGUCCGGAUUUAUUGGGCGUAAAGAGCUCGUAGGCGGUUCGGUAUGUCGAAUGUGAAAUCUCCACGCUUAACGUGGAGCGGUCAUUCGAAACUGUCGUGACUCGAGUCCGGUAGGGGAGUGUGGAAUUCCCGGUGUAGCGGUGAAAUGCGCAGAGAUCGGGAGGAACACCCGUAGCGAAGGCGGCACUCUGGGCCGGUACUGACGCUGAGGAGCGAAAGCGUGGGGAGCAAACAGGAUUAGAUACCCCGGUAGUCC